GUGGGGAAUCUUGCGCAAUGGGCGAAAGCCUGACGCAGUCAUGCCGCGUGAAUGAUGAAGGUCUUAGGAUUGUAAAAUUCUUUCACCGGGGACGAUAAUGGCGGUACCCGGAGAAGAAGCCCCGGCUAACUUCGUGCCAGCAGCCGCGGUAAUACGAAGGGGGCUAGCGUUGCUCGGAAUUACUGGGCGUAAAGGGCGCGUAGGCGGACAGUUUAGUCAGAGGUGAAAGCCCAGGGCUCAACCUUGGAAUUGCCUUUGAUACUGGCUGUCUUGAGUACGGGAGAGGUGAGUGGAACUCCGAGUGUAGAGGUGAAAUUCGUAGAUAUUCGGAAGAACACCAGUGGCGAAGGCGACUCACUGGCCCGUUACUGACGCUGAGGCGCGAAAGCGUGGGGAGCAAACAGGAUUAGAUACCCGGGUAGUCC
rnacentral:rRNA from 1 species